CCUCGUUAAUGUCAGUCUCUGGGCUAAACCUGGGGAACAUAACAAGCAAGUCAGAGAUGCCCCUGAUGCUGAUGGAAUUCAGAAGCACGGGAAGAUUUAAACAAGUCCACGGCAGCAUCGUAGAGCAAAGAGGACGAGCUACAAAUCCAGCAAGUCUAUUCUCCUGCAUCCAUCGUCUUUCAGUUCUACAUCCCGGGACCACAAUCGAACACCUGCAGACGUAAUGAGGAUUGCACGGACCCGUUCAUAAAAUCUGCAUACCUUUCUACAGCGGCACAGUGGGACCUUUCUUGAGGCUGAGGAAACAAAGAACAACAGGCAUUAAGUACGGUAGCCAGCAGUGUGCAAUAGUGCACAACACUAUGAAGAUGCAUGAUACACGGUACAGAGCCGGUUUGUCUGCAUUGGUGACAUCACACCCAGCACCACGAGCAACUCCAAACACUGGGAAAAAAAUACAUUUAACAAGUGUUGAUCGCAUGCAUACCUUGACACCCAUUUUGCAGUCCUUCAACUUUUAAUGUCUCCUAACCCAACACACUCAUACACUGGCAUUUAGUUCCUAAAUCUAUUCUUUUAAGCAAAACAGAUUUUUCUUUUAUUAACAAAGUUAUCAAUUGGAUAGACAAUCUCAAUAUGUUCUAUAUUUUAAAACUAUUCAACAAAUAAAGUUUAUAU